rnacentral:rRNA from 1 species
UCCUACGGGAGGCAGCAGUGGGGAAUUUUGGACAAUGGGCGAAAGCGUGAUCCAGCAAUGCCGCGUGCWGGAUGAAGGCCUUCGGGUUGUAAACUGCUUUUGUACGGAACGAAAAAGCUUCUCCUAAUACGAGAGGCCCMUGACGGUACCGURAGAAUAAGCACCGGCUAACUACGUGCCAGCAGCCGCGGUAAUACGUAKGGUGCGAGCGUUAAUCGGAAUUACUGGGCGUAAAGCGUGCGCAGGCGGUUAUGUAAGACAGAUGUGAAAUCCCCGGGCUCAACCUGGGAACUGCAUUUGWGACUGCAUGKCUAGAGUACGGUAGAGGGGGAUGGAAUUCCGCGUGUAGCARUGAAAUGCGUAGAUAUGCGGAGGAACACCGAUGGCGAAGGCAAUCCCCUGGMCCUGUACUGACGCUCAUGCACGAAAGCGUGGGGAGCAAACAGGAUUAGAUACCCUGGUAGUCCACGCCCUAACGGAAAUCAACUGUUUAUUGGGAAUUACUUUUCUCAGUGACGCAGCUAA